rnacentral:miRNA from 1 species
UAGCAGCACGUAUUUAUCCUAUU